rnacentral:rRNA from 1 species
AUUGAACGCUGGCGGCAUGCCUUACACAUGCAAGUCGAACGGCAGCGCGGGGCAACCUGGCGGCGAGUGGCGAACGGGUGAGUAAUAUAUCGGAACGUACCCUGGAGUGGGGGAUAACGUAGCGAAAGUUACGCUAAUACCGCAUACGAUCUAAGGAUGAAAGUGGGGAUCGCAAGACCUCAUGCUCCUGGAGCGGCCGAUAUCUGAUUAGCUAGUUGGAGGUAAAGCCUACCAAGGCAUCGAUCAGUAGCUGGUCUGAGAGGACGACCAGCCACACUGGAACUGAGACACGGUCCAGACUCCUACGGGAGGCAGCAGUGGGAAUUUUGGACAAUGGGGCAACCCUGAUCAGCAAUGCCGCGUGAGUGAAGAAGG